rnacentral:tRNA from 1 species
GGGAAGGUAGCUUAGUGGUAGAGUGCAUGCCUCACAUGCAUGAGACCCUGGGUUCGAUUCCUAAGCACCA